UUGCACGCUGGCGGCAGGCCUAACCCCUGCCAGUCGAACGGUAACAGGAAGAAGCUUGCUUCUUUGCUGACGAGUGGCGGACGGGUGAGUAAUGUCUGGGAAACUGCCUGAUGGAGGGGGAUAACUACUGGAAACGGUAGCUAAUACCGCAUAACGUCGCAAGACCAAAAAGGGGGACCUUCGGGCCUCUUGCCAUCGGAUGUGCCCAGAUGGGAUUAGCUAGUAGGUGGGGUAACGGCUCACCUAGGCGACGAUCCCUAGCUGGUCUGAGAGGAUGACCAGCCACACUGGAACUGAGACACGGUCCAGACUCCUACGGGAGGCAGCAGUGGGGAAUAUUGCACAAUGGGCGCAAGCCUGAUGCAGCCAUGCCGCGUGUAUGAAGAAGGCCUUCGGGUUGUAAAGUACUUUCAGCGGGGAGGAAGGGAGUAAAGUUAAUACCUUUGCUCAUUGACGUUACCCGCAGAAGAAGCACCGGCUAACUCCGUG
rnacentral:rRNA from 1 species